AUUGAACGCUGGCGGCAGGCUUAACACAUGCAAGUCGAGCGGGGUGAUGGUGCUUGCACUAUCACUUAGCGGCGGACGGGUGAGUAAUGCUUAGGAAUCUGCCUAUUAGUGGGGGACAACAUCUCGAAGGGGAUGCUAAUACCGCAUACGUCCUACGGGAGAAAGCAGGGGAUCACUUGUGACCUUGCGCUAAUAGAUGAGCCUAAGUCGGAUUAGCUAGUUGGUGGGGUAAAGGCCUACCAAGGCGACGAUCUGUAGCGGGUCUGAGAGGAUGAUCCGCCACACUGGGACUGAGACACGGCCCAGACUCCUACGGGAGGCAGCAGUGGGGAAUAUUGGACAAUGGGGGGAACCCUGAUCCAGCCAUGCCGCAUGUGUGAAGAAGGCCUUAUGGUUGUAAAGCACUUUAAGCGAGGAGGAGGCUCUUUUGGUUAAUACCCAAGAUGAGUGGACGUUACUCGCAGAAUAAGCACCGGCUAACUCUGUGCCAGCCGCCGCAGUAA
rnacentral:rRNA from 1 species